UACGAGGGGGGCGAGCGUUGUUCGGAAUUAUUGGGCGUAAAGGGUGCGUAGGCGGUUCCGCAAGUCCUGUGUGAAAUCUUCGGGCUCAACUCGAAGUCUGCACGGGAAACUGCGGGGCUUGAGUGUGGGAGAGGUGAGUGGAAUUCCCGGUGUAGCGGUGAAAUUCGUAGAUAUUCGCAAGAACACCAGUGGCGAAGGCGGCUCACUGGCCCGAUACUGACGCUGAGGUGCGAAAGCGUGGGGAGCAAACAGGG
rnacentral:rRNA from 1 species